rnacentral:rRNA from 1 species
UACGUAGGGUGCGAGCGUUGUCCGGAAUUAUUGGGCGUAAAGAGCUCGUAGGCGGUGUGUCACGUCGGCCGUGAAAACCUGCAGCUUAACUGUGGGCGUGCGGUCGAUACGGGCAUCACUGGAGUUCGGCAGGGGAGACUGGAAUUCCUGGUGUAGCGGUGAAAUGCGCAGAUAUCAGGAGGAACACCGGUGGCGAAGGCGGGUCUCUGGGCCUAUACUGACGCUGAGGAGCGAAAGCGUGGGGAGCGAACAGG